UCCGGUACCCACAUUGGAAUCCGACUAAUUUGAAUUCGUGCAGCGUAGGGCUCCAUUUGGGGGGAAGCACUCCAAACAGAGUUUUCUCUAUGCUCAGGGUCGAACCCUCGACCUCUGGUUAAGGAUGGAGCAGCCCCAUCUGCUGUACCACAACCCAUGUUAGUGCCUAUAUAUAUCUCCCCACUUUACAUGUAAAAGGACACACAAUCAAUGAAAUACUACUAUUAAAAUUACUCAUUCUAUUCUCUUCAUUAUAUAUUUAAAUCUCUUUCUCUUUCUAUUUCUCUUUCUUUUCUUCUAAUAAAUUUUAUUCGGUCUUUAUAUUAUAACACGUUAUCAACACGAGACUCUUCUUCAGGUAAAAGUAUAAAGAGAAGAUUGGGAAAGACAUUCAAGUCAUCAAGAGGCAAAAUGUGAAGGAAAUGAGUCAUCCGUUUCACAUCCGCUUCGCAUCUGCUCUCUGUCUGCUCUUCAUCCGCUUUGGAUCUGCUCAAGCAAAUCAAGAAUGAGGUAGCAGUCUUGUAAUUUUCAUCAAAUGUAGAGUGGAGUUUAAAAGGAGUCUUUUAGCUCAUUUUUCAAGACCUAGUUUUUCAUCUCUUUUUAAGAUAGCCUCCCUUUUAGCUCUUAGCUUCUCUCUUCUCUUUUACUAUCUAUCUUUUCAUCUUUUAAGAAUUUUGUACUAAGCUUGAGUGAAAAAUACAUGGUAGUGAUUUUCCUUUGAAGAAUUAUUGAAACCCCAAGUGUGGAAUUACAUUGUC